AGACAGAGGAGCAGAACUUCAAUUAACCCAGAAUUCUCCCAUCAAAAUAUCUAUAACUGUGACAUGUUGGGUAGCUGCAUAACUUCCAGGGACUCCAGCCAGGGAUAACGACACCUUCGUGGAAAUCUGAGAUGACAACUAAGAAGAUGUGUACGAGCGGUGUUUGGUGAACCCCAGACAGCAGCACCUGGAAGGAGUUCUCUGGAGCUGCUGAUGCUGCCUGCUGAGGACCACACUUGGCGGACCCGACGCACUCGCCCCCCAGCCUGAUCGGGCAGACGACCUCCGCCCUUCCACGGCAUUUCCUCAUCAAGCACUGCUCAUGUG